UCACUCAAAGGCGAGGAGGACGAGGACAGAAAAGGUCGAGGAGGCCGUGGAGCGGCCAGAUGGAGACAUGGCCGGAGGGACGGGAGGAGAAAGAGACGGGACGAAUAAUGGCGCCCAUGUGAAGCUUGCUGAAGAACACAACUCAAUGGCUGGCUGGACUCUCACUGCACAGCCUUGGGGGUAAACAGCAGCCACUUGUAACCCACUCACAUCUCCAAACCAGACCGGCAAUCAUAGAAAAAAAGGUCCCUUUGAUAGGGGGACGCUCCUUCAAAGUAAAACUGUAUCUAGGAAUCUGUUUCAUCAGCGCAGAAUGGACUGUUUUAAAGUCUGACUGCCAGCCUGUAAAUCUGGUUUUGUUUUGUUUUCUGGACUCUUGUUCCAUUUUGAACUUCCUGGUUUGCUUUUGUUACCAUGUCAACUCAUUAGUUCCCACCUUGUCUCGCCCCUGCCCUCAGUCCCGCACCUGUUCCUGAUUAUCACAGCCAGUAUUUAAGUCAUUUUCUUUCUGUUCAUCAGGCUGGGAACUUUGCUUUCAUUGCCUUUCGAUGCCUUUCAUACUUCAUGCCAUGCUUUUCGGUUCGUCCACGCCAAUGUCUCAAAGGGCUGCACAAACCACCACGACAUCCUCGGUAGGCCCACAUAAGGGCAAGGAAAACUCACACCCAGUGGAACGUCGGUGACAAUGAUAACUAUGAGAACCUUGGAGAGGAGGAAAGCAAUGGAUGUCGAGCGGGUCUAACAUGAUACUGCGAAAGUUCAAUCCACAAUGGAUCCAACACAGUCGCGAGAGUCCAGUCCAAAGCGGAUCCAACACAGCAGCGAGAGUCCCGUUCACAGUGGAGCCAGCAGGAAACCAUCCCAAGCGGAGGUGGAUCAGCAUCGCAGAUAUGUCCCCAGCCGAUACACAGGCA